GACUAGCUGUGUCUGCCUGUCGCCAGCGUUCAUCCUGAGCCAGAAUCACCUCUAAUCACUAGUGAAUUCCCGGCAGCGGCGAACGGGUGAGUAACGCGUAGGAAUCUGCCCGAUAGCGGGGGAUAGCCCGGGGAAACCCGGAUUAAUACCGCAUACGCCCUACGGGGGAAAGGCCGGGAUCUUUUGACCGGUCGCUAUCGGAGGAGCCUGCGUUGGAUUAGCUUGUUGGUAGGGUAAUGGCCUACCAAGGCGACGAUCCAUAGCUGGUCUGAGAGGAUGAUCAGCCACACUGGAACUGAGACACGGUCCAGACUUCUACGGGAGGCAGCAGUCGGGAAUAUUGGACAAUGGGGGAAACCCUGAUCCAGCCAUGCCGCGUGUGUGAAGAAGGCUUUCGGGUUGUAAAGCACUUUCAGUAGUGAGGAAGGGAUCUGGGUGAAUACCCCGGAUUCUUGACGUUAGCUACAGAAGCAGCACCGGCUAAUUCCGUGCCAGCAGCCGCGGUAAUACGGAGGGUGCAAGCGUUAAUCGGAAUUACUGGGCGUAAAGCGCGCGUAGGCGGUUUGGUAAGUUGGAUGUGAAAGCCCAGGGCUUAACCUUGGAACUGCAUCUGAUACUGCCAGACUAGAGUAUGGUAGAGGGGGGUAGAAUUCCACGUGUAGCGGUGAAAUGCGUAGAGAUGUGGAGGAAUACCGGUGGCGAAGGCGGCCCCCCUGGACCAAUACUGACGCUAAGGUGCGAAGGCGUGGGGAGCGAACAGGAUUAGAUACCCUGGUAGUCCACGCGGUAAACGAUGUCAACUAGCCGUUGGGGAUCUUGUUAUUCUUAGUGGCGCAGCUAACGCGAUAAGUUGACCGCCUGGGGAG
rnacentral:rRNA from 1 species